UCGAGGAUCAUUCGCAAUGCGCGAAAGCGUGACGGUGCGACGCCGCGUGCAGGAUGAAGGCCUUCGGGUCGUAAACUGCUGUCAUGAGGGAACAAUGUCCGGAAUGCUAACAUCAUUUCGGGGUGAUAGUACCUCAAGAGGAAGCCACGGCUAACUCUGUGCCAGCAGCCGCGGUAAUACAGAGGCGGCAAGCGUUGUUCGGAUUUACUGGGCGUAAAGGGUGCGUAGGCGGUUCUGUGUGUCGGAUGUGAAAUCUCACAGCUCAACUGUGGAAUUGCAUUCGAAACUACAGGGCUGGAGUACAGGAGAGGAGAGCGGAAUUCUUGGUGUAGCGGUGAAAUGCGUAGAUAUCAAGAGGAACACCGGUGGCGAAGGCGGCUCUCUGGACUGAUACUGACGCUGAGGCACGAAAGCUGGGGGAGCAAACAG
rnacentral:rRNA from 1 species